GUAGCUUUUUUAUUUCUCCUCUUCUUUUUAUCUUGCACUCUAUCCCCUUCUAAUAGAAUGCCACUAACAACUUUAUUAGCAUCCACUUUACUUUUAUUUUUCAAGCUGCCCUCCUCACCAUCUUCAAGAAGACCAUCCUUCUUCAGCUUUUUUCCUUUUUUUCUCUUUAGAUUCAACAAGUGCCGCAUAAUCAUCUUUACUUUCAUUUAAAUCUUUUCUUUUCUCUUCAGUUACCUUGGGCAUUACUUCUGGUCAUUUUUCAUUACCAUCAAGUACUUCAAAAGUUAGCUUGCUUUUCUUUCUUUUUUCUUCUCCUUCUGUUUCUUAGUGGGUUCAUUCACUGUUAUUUCACGAACUGCAUCAUUAGUAACUUUCUUCAAGGCUAAUAAUUCAUGUUCACUUUGAACAAGAGUAUUGGCUGUAAUUUUGUUUUUAUCCUUCUUUGAAUUUUGUUUUUAUCCUUCUUUGAUUUUUUUGGCUUCCAACCUUUCAGUAAUUCAAAUGGUUUCUUUGGAACAACCUUAGUU
rnacentral:lncRNA from 1 species